rnacentral:lncRNA from 1 species
GGGGGCGGUGCCCGAGGAAGCCAAUAGGAAGAGGAGUCGGCCAAGAGCGACGGCUCUGCCGUCCAGUCGGCGCCGGCCAUUCGGCCCCGCCCAUCAGGAAACCUGAGGAAAACGGAUUCUUGGGCCCUGAGUUGUGGGCCUUACCUUUCCUUUCUUCUUUCCGUUUCCGGGGAAGGGAAAAGGAAGUGUUGUUUGGAUCUGAGGAAGUUUGCACAGUAGCUGGCUGAGUGGUAGCUGUUUGUCUUGUAGCAAUCUUUAAAAAGUGUUCUUUGGGGUCGGGCGCAGUGUCUCACGCCUCUAAUCCCAGCACCUUGGGAGGCCGAGGCGGGCGAAUCACCUGAGGUCGGGAGCUCGAGACCAGUCUGACCGACAUGGAGAAACCCCGUCUCUCCUAAAAAUACAAAAUUAGCCGGGCGUGGUGGCGCAUGCCUGUAAUACUAGCUACUCGGGAGGCUGAGGCAGGAGAAACGCUUGAACCCGGGAGGCGGACGUUGCAGUGAGCCGAGAUCGAGCCAUUGCAUUCCAGCCUGGGCAACAAGAGCGAAACUCCGUCUCAAAAAAAAAAAAAAAAAAAAAAAAAAGUGUUCAUUGGUUUCCCAGCUACCUUUUGAAGAAAAAGGUAAUGGAAAUUGAUUCGCAUUUCUUUUUUAAAGAUUUUCUUCAUUUGGCGUGAAAGGUAGGAUCUUGUACAUCUCCAGGGUUUGGGGUAGGGAGAAGAAGAGACGUUAGGAGAAGCACUGAAUAUGGAGAUGGGAUCGGACGGCUAGUGGGAUGAAGAGGCUGGGGAAAUAGAAUGAAUAGACAGAGAAAAUGAUUGACUUCAACUAUCCAAAAUAUAAAAAAGACAAGACAGAGAAAAUGAGGAAGAAAAGGAAUGAACCUGGAUGGGAUCCAUACAGUAUUAAGAACAGGGUAUUGUUUCAUUUGGAUUCACUUACUCAAAACAAAACUACAGAGUACUCUGCGAACAGAAGAUAAGUAUUCAUUAUCGAGCGAGACAACUACGAUCUCUGCAUUCACUGUAGUUACCUAGCACGUGAAGAUAUUGAACGGACAAUAUUGAGAAAAAUACCAUGAUAUGGGAAGUGCAUUGGAGCACAUGGUAGGAGUAGCUAAUUAAAAGCCCAGAAGGAGUCAGGAACAAUUUUCUAGGAGGAAGAGAUGUUUAAACUGAAACCCCUGUGUUGAAUAGAUUUAAAACAGGCCAAGAGGGGUAAAAUUUUCCAGGUAGAAGGUCCAAAUCCGUGUAACAGCUGUGUAAAAUGCCAAGCAUUGGGUCUGUUAUUAUGAAGGGCUUAGUUGGCCCUUAGGGCACUGGUCAGAUUUGUAUUGAAAGAUCUUUGGAUAAAGGAGGUAGGAUUGGGAGGGAAGAUAUAGAGUCACAAGAUUUGGGAGCUGUUUAGGAAAUCCAGUUGAGAAAGAAAUGAUCAUAGCCUUGAUACCUCAUUAUUCCAUUUUGGCUAGGUGGAGUUAAGAAAAUGGAAGAGAAAGGCAAUUUUUUGUGCAUUAUAAAUAAGAAUUUGGGGAGUGACUAGAGACAGAAGAUAAAGAGAACAUAGCUCAACAGUUAACAAUGAUGUGUUUGAAGAGUGUUUAAAAAUGUGAAGAUGACUAGCCCAGCACACACACCUGUAAUCCCAGCUACUUGUGAGGCUGAGAAAAGGAAGAUUGUUUGCUGCAGCCUCGACUAUCUGCUCUCAACCAAACCUCCCACCUCAGCUUCCUGAGUAGCUGUGACUGCAGGCGCACACCACCAUACCCGGCUAAUUUUUGUAUUUUUUGUAGAGUGGGGGUUUCACCAUAUUGCUCUGGCUGGUCUCCAACUCCAGAGCUCAAGUGAUCCACUCAUCUCGGCCUCCAAAAGUGUUGGGAUUACAGGUGUGAGCCACUGCACCUGGCUGUUUUUUUAUAUUUCUAUGAUGUCAGUAAACUCCCCUUCAUUCCUCUCCUUCUCACAUCUUGAAAAAAGGCUUCUACAGACCACAGAGGCCUUGGUGUGAGUGGUGGGUUUGGAUGUAGUUUUUAUGGUAUAUGUGUGGAAAAUAGAGGGAAGGAGCUGAGUUUUGCUUUUAGGUUGACACUAAGAUAAAAACAAAGAGCCAUACCUUCAGAAUGGAGACACAGGAUUUAGGAGCAGCAGGAAGCUGAAGUCAGAGGGGACCAUAAAAUGGCAACUCCCCAUGUAUUCACGGAAAUUUUGCGCAGGGCAAGUAGACUGUUCCAAAGGGGGAAAUAGAAGCUCAAUACUAUAAGAGUAGAGGCACAAGCAGCUAAUUGGGUAAUAGUUUGAAAUUUAGGGACUGGCUUUUAAAAAUCUAAUCUAUGAAACAGGGUGAAUUGAAGACUUUUUAAAUACCAGUAAAAUAAUAAUCAGAAUUUUUUAUUGAAGUUAGUAAACAUAAAAUUAACAGAAUAGAAAAACAGGUUAACAUAAGUUGGUUAGCUGGAAUCCAGGCCUGAAAGGGGGAAGCCAGUAAGAAGCCUAUUCCUUUCACAGAACUCCAGGUGGUAGUCUCAGGAAUACGUUAAAAGCAGCAUGGGUCUGGUGCGGUGGCUCAUGCCUAUAAUCCCAGCACUUUGGGAGGCCGAGGCAGGUGGAUCACUUGAGGUCAGGAGUGCAAGACCAGCCUGACCAACAUGGUGAAACUCCGUUUCUACUAAGAAUACAAAAUUAGCUGGGCUUGGUGGUGCAUGCCUGUAACCUGAGCUACUUGGGAGGCCGAGGCAGGAGAAUUGCUUAAACCCGGGAGGCGGUGUCUGCGGUGAGCCGAGAUCAUGCCAUUGCACUACAGCCUGGGCAACUAUAGCGAAACUCUGUCUCAAAAAAAGAAAGAAAAAGAAAAAAAGCAUGAAGCUGAGACUGGAGGAUUGGUUGGAAAAAAAAAUGGAGUAUGAAGCUGAGACUGAAGAUUGGUUGGGAGUCUUGAAACAAUUAGAUGCUAGAUCUCCUGUCAUACUUUGUGGAGGACCAGGAGAUUAUAAGGUGAACCGAGAGGAUCUAGACUCUACCACUAGGCACAACUGAGAGUAGAAAUGAGGUCAUACUGAAAUGGGGAGGAUAAGCUCAGGACCUCGUCUUACUUGGCUCCCAGAACGCUGGCAAUGAGUCAUAUAUCCCCUGGGCAUUAAAUUUAAAGACUUUUUCAGGCAAGCUAAUCAGAAAAGAGAGGAGGCCCCAAUUGAAAAAGCCAGUUUAUUAAUAUAGACCUACGCUGACACCUACUAGCUGAUAAGCUAGUCCCUGCACGCUGAGCUUCUGAUCAAUUUUAGCAUUACCAAACUUUGGAAUAAAGCCUCAGCUCUGAAAAAGAAAAAAAAUAAAGCAGGAGCAAACAUACUAUGUAGAACCCAGAGAAAAAUUUACUCAAAACUGUAAUAAACUCUUGACAUUUUAUAUCUAUUAAAAAAGGAAUGUAAAAAGGAAUGUGAGUCAUCAAAUUUAGAUUCUUUAAGGAGAAAAUUCUUAAAGUUUUAAUUAAUUUUUAAAUAGACUGCAGAAUCAAGAUGAU